GGGCGAAUGGUUUAGUGGUAUAAUACUCCCUUAGCAUCUUCGAGCAUUCUGCUUGACGCUUGGGAGUGGUCCGGGGUUCGAUUCCCCGUUUGUCCA